UCUACCCAUGCGGGGAAGGAUGAGAAGCUUCGACUAAGGUUCGAUUCGAGCGCAGCGAGAAAGCGUUGCCGCAGGCAACGACCCGAAGGGCGAAGCGCGCAGCGCUGAGUAAUCCUUCCCCCACCACCA
rnacentral:sRNA from 1 species